rnacentral:rRNA from 1 species
ACUGCUCAGUAACACGUGGACAACCUACCCUAAGGAGGGGGAUAACCCCGGGAAACUGGGGAUAAUACCCCAUAGACUAUGGAUGCUGGAAUGCUUUGUAGUCAAAAGGUCCGCCGCCUUAGGAUGGGUCUGCGGCCGAUUAGGUUGUUGUUGGGGUAACGGCCUAACAAGCCUGUAAUCGGUACGGGUUGUGGGAGCAAGAGCCCGGAGAUGGAUUCUGAGACACGAAUCCAGGCCCUACGGGGCGCAGCACGCGCGAAAACUUUACAAUGCGGGAAACCGUGAUAAGGGAACUCCGAGUGCCCGUUAAAUCGGGCUGUCCACCAGUUUAAACAACUGGUGAAGAAAGGGCCGGGCAAGACCGGUGCCAGCCGCCGCGGUAAUACCGGCGGCUCGAGUGGUGGCCACUAUUACUGGGCUUAAAGCGUUCGUAGCUGGUUUGUUAAGUCUCUGGGGAAAUCUACCGGCUUAACCGGUAGGCGUCUCAGGGAUACUGGCAGACUAGGGACCGGGAGAGGUGAGAGGUACUCCAGGGGUAGGAGUGAGAUCCUGUAAUCCUUGGGGGACCACCUGUGGCGAAGGCGUCUCACCAGAACGGCUCCGACAGUGAGGGACGAAAGCUGGGGGAGCAAACCGGAUUAGAUACCCGGGUAGUCCCAGCUGUAAACGAUGCGCGUUAGGUGUAUCGGUGACCACGAGUCACCGAGGUGCCGAAGAGAAAUCGUGAAACGUGCCGCCUGGGAAGUACGGUCGCAAGGCUGAAACUUAAAGGAAUUGGCGGGGGAGCAC